rnacentral:rRNA from 1 species
UACGAAGGGGGCGAGCGUUGUUCGGAUUUACUGGGCGUAAAGGGCGCGCAGGCGGCUAUCCAAGUCAGGCGUGAAAGCCCCGGGCUUAACCUGGGAGGUGCGUCUGGGACUGGGUGGCUAGAGUUCGGGAGAGGAGAGUGGAAUUCCCAGUGUAGAGGUGAAAUUCGUAGAUAUUCGCAAGAACACCAGUGGCGAAGGCGGCUCACUGGCCCGAUACUGACGCUGAGGCACGAAAGCGUGGGGAGCAAACAGG